rnacentral:rRNA from 1 species
GAUGAACGCUGGCGGCGUGCCUAAUACAUGCAAGUCGAGCGAACAGACGAGGAGCUUGCUCCUCUGACGUUAGCGGCGGACGGGUGAGUAACACGUGGAUAACCUACCUAUAAGACUGGGAUAACUUCGGGAAACCGGAGCUAAUACCGGAUAAUAUAUUGAACCGCAUGGUUCAAUAGUGAAAGACGGUUUUGCUGUCACUUAUAGAUGGAUCCGCGCCGCAUUAGCUAGUUGGUAAGGUAACGGCUUACCAAGGCAACGAUGCGUAGCCGACCUGAGAGGGUGACCGACCCCCAAGGAACGGAGACCCACACGAGGCGAGAGGGGGGAGAAGCAUAUUGAUAUCUCCCGCAGUGGGCGACCGCUAGACGGAGCAGCGCCGCGUGCGUGAUGAAUGUCUUCGGAUCGUACAACUAUAUUAUUAGGGAAGAACAAAUUGGUAAGUAACUACUCAUGUCUUAAGGUGCAAUAAUAAAAAAGCCACGGCUAACUCCGUGCCAGCAGCCGCGGUAGUAGAUCGGCACGUGUCUGAAC